UACGUAGGGUGCGAGCGUUAAUCGGAAUUACUGGGCGUAAAGCGUGCGCAGGCGGCUUCGCAAGUCAGACGUGAAAUCCCCGGGCUUAACCUGGGAAUGGCGUUUGAAACUACGGAGCUGGAGUAUGGCAGAGGUGGGUGGAAUUCCACGUGUAGCGGUGAAAUGCGUAGAUAUGUGGAGGAACACCGAUGGCGAAGGCAAUCCCCUGGGCCUGCACUGACGCUCAUGCACGAAAGCGUGGGGAGCAAACAGG
rnacentral:rRNA from 1 species